UGAGGAAUAUUGGUCAAUGGGCGCGAGCCUGAACCAGCCAAGUCGCGUGAGGGAUGACGGCCCUAUGGGUUGUAAACUUCUUUUGUCGGGGAACAAAAGCCGAUUUGCGAAUUGGUCUGAGUGUACCCGAACGAAAAAGCAUCGGCUAACUCCGUGCC
rnacentral:rRNA from 1 species